rnacentral:rRNA from 1 species
AGUGAACGCUGGCGGUAGGCCUAACACAUGCAAGUCGAACGGCAGCACAGGAGAGCUUGCUCUCUGGGUGGCGAGUGGCGGACGGGUGAGGAAUACAUCGGAAUCUACUCUGUCGUGGGGGAUAACGUAGGGAAACUUACGCUAAUACCGCAUACGACCUACGGGUGAAAGCAGGGGACCUUCGGGCCUUGCGCGAUUGAAUGAGCCGAUGUCGGAUUAGCUAGUUGGCGGGGUAAAGGCCCACCAAGGCGACGAUCCGUAGCUGGUCUGAGAGGAUGAUCAGCCGCACUGGAACGGAGACACGGUCCGGACUCCUACGGGAGGCAGCAGUGGGGAAUAUUGGACAAUGGGCGCAAGCCUGAUCCAGCCAUACCGCGUGGGUGAAGAAGGCCUUCGGGUUGUAAAGCCCUUUUGUUGGGAAAGGAAUCCAGCUGGCUAAUACCCGGUUGGGAUGACGGUACCCAAAGAAUAAGCACCGGCUAACUUCGUGCCAGCCGCCGCCGUAA